CACAGUCACGACUGUCAAACCCAAACAGAGGAAAUGAGCAGAGCAUGGAACCUCCUGAUGAAACCUUUUUAGCAGCCGUCAACUAAUGACUCCGAGAGAAAAACGUGACAGUCUGAAGAGGAGACGCGUGUGGAGGGCUGCAGGGCGGGAGGGGCCGCAGAUGGCGGGAGCUGUCCACUCAGGACAGGGUGCUGAAUCAGAAGGGACGGCAGCAGACGCGCUGGCACCGUCACAGAGCUGCUGCUGCGUGUCCUCAACCUCCCUUCUUCUUUCUCUUCUCAAUCCACGUUUCGCUUUGCGGGAAGCGCACGUGGGUCAAAGACUGACUUGAGGUGGAAAAGUUAACUUUAAAUCUAAGCCAAAGAGCAGACAGCCUGUUGCUGGCUGCAGUGUUGGUGAGUUUCGGACAGCAGACAGACUCAUCUCAUCUGAAGCGUCUUUCCCUCUGUUUCCCUGGAAAGAGCUUUCCUUUUCUCUGAUCUGUGGAGGUGAACCCAACCCUCGCGCUCCGCUGCUGCUCGCUUUCUGACGCAUUUUUAAUUCACUGCAACUCUCUGCAAAAAGAAAGAAAGGAGAAAAACAGUCAAUCUAAAUGUAUUUACCCCAAAUCAAUGCGCAAGUGGCCAUCGAUAUCUGCUCAAAAGACAAAGUUUAUCAGCGUUUCUGUUUGAACUGGUUGGGAAGUAUUGGCUGCUUGAUUUCGUGGUGAAUUCCUGAGUUUCAGAGGGAUUUGUUGACUGAAAUGCCGCGCUCUGAGACAAUAACCUUCAGGAAGCUCAUCUCCAGAGGAGUUAACCAAACUAUCACCCCGCUGCACAACAAAGCUGCGGUUUCUGAGCGGGAGUGUCUUCUGUAUGGAUGAGACACACGUCAGCAUUUGCAUAUGAAGGCACCUCGGCGGAAAGACACACACGUGAUGAUCGCUGUAAUGGAGCUCAAUAGAGGCGAACCUGGACUUUUUCCCACUUCUGUGACAUGCGCCCCCGACGCUCUGGCGCCUGUGAGUCUGAGUAUCAGCUACCUGGCAUCCCUGCCUUGAAAAUAUCUACAUAACUCAUCCGUCCCUGAACUCACCACUAUCCAAAACCCCAUCAGCUCGACCCAGUUUACCAGCUUCCAACUCUUUCUGACUGAAGUGACUUUAAGUGUUAGCCCCCUGGGGCCCCAUACUUCAUUUUGUUCACUUUGAAUAGCCACAAACCAGAAAAAAGGGAAAGCUCAGUUUGAUUUUCUGUUGACCUGUUUGGAUCGGUCAUUUGAUGACGCAUUCUCUGUCUCCUCCAAUCAAUAAAUCUUGAUAUCUAUUGUCCAAACCUAAA